GCCCCCUACGGGACGCAGCAGUAGGGAAUCUUCCACAAUGGACGAAAGUCUGAUGGAGCAACGCCGCGUGAGUGGAGAAGGGUUUCGGCUCGUAAAGCUCUGUUGGUAGUGAAGAAAGAUAGAGGUAGUAACUGGCCUUUAUUUGACGGUAAUUACUUAGAAAGUCACGGCUAACUACGUGCCAGCAGCCGCGGUAAUACGUAGGUGGCAAGCGUUGUCCGGAUUUAUUGGGUUUAAAGGGUGCGCAGGCGGGAG
rnacentral:rRNA from 1 species